UCUUGGUCAUUUAGAGGAAGUAAAAGUCGUAACAAGGUUUCCGUAGGUGAACCUGCGGAAGGAUCAUUAUCGAACAGUAACAAUAGGUGGAGUGACUGUCGCUGGCCGCUUCGCAGCAUGUGCACGUCCUCUCACUUGUUAUCUACACACCUGUGCACCUCUUGUAGAUCCCCCCUCGAGAGAGGAGCGAUCUAUGUUUUCAUCACAUCACACAUGUAGUAUGGCUAGAAUGAAUAAACAUAAAUAUGAAAUACAACUUUCAGCAACGGAUYUYUUGGCUCUCGCAUCGAUGAAGAACGCAGCGAAUUGCGAUAAGUAAUGUGAAUUGCAGAUUUCCAGUGAAUCAUCGAAUCUUUGAACGCAUCUUGCGCUCCUUGGUAUUCCGAGGAGCAUGCCUGUUUGAGUGUCAUUUAAUUCUCAACCAUUCUCUUUCUCUCUUCAAAGAGAGUGGGACAUGGCUUGGAGUUGGGAGUUGCUGGCAGCGAUGUCAGCUCUCCUUAAAUGCAUUAGCGAUCGAGUUGGCUAGUCUUUGACGUGCACGGCCUUGGACGUGAUAAUGACCGUCCUGGCUGGAGCGUCUGCAUCUACAUCUGAUUCGUAGACUACGCACAUAGAUCGCUUCUAACCAUGAAGGCAAGGCAAGGGGAAAGGAAAGUCCAGUGUGUCUGGCAUUGAUGGGGUCCAUCAAGCUUAGCUACUAGGCAGUCUAGCAAACGGUUAGGCUGGCGAACACGAGCGAGAGAGGACCGAAAGUGCUAGCACGUUGUGCUUUGUCUUUGCUUGAGCUUAGCUUUCAGACUUGGAGACUUGACCUCAAAUCAGGUAGGACUACCCGCUGAACUUAAGCAUAUC
rnacentral:rRNA from 1 species